rnacentral:piRNA from 1 species
UGGAUGGUUCAGGUUUACCUGUAGAGGUGU